rnacentral:rRNA from 1 species
GACGAACGCUGGCGGCGUGCCUAAUACAUGCAAGUAGAACGCUGAAGAGAGGAGCUUGCUCUUCUUGGAUGAGUUGCGAACGGGUGAGUAACGCGUAGGUAACCUGCCUGGUAGCGGGGGAUAACUAUUGGAAACGAUAGCUAAUACCGCAUAAUAGUAGAUGUUGCAUGACAUUUGCUUAAAAGGUGCAAUUGCAUCACUACCAGAUGGACCUGCGUUGUAUUAGCUAGUUGGUGAGGUAACGGCUCACCAAGGCAACGAUACAUAGCCGACCUGAGAGGGUGAUCGGCCACACUGGGACUGAGACACGGCCCAGACUCCUACGGGAGGCAGCAGUAGGGAAUCUUCGGCAAUGGACGGAAGUCUGACCGAGCAACGCCGCGUGAGUGAAGAAGGUUUUCGGAUCGUAAAGCUCUGUUGUAAGAGAAGAACGAGUGUGAGAGUGGAAAGUUCACACUGUGACGGUAUCUUAC